GAUGAACGCUGGCGGUAUGCUUAACACAUGCAAGUCGAACGGUCUCUUCGGAGAUAGUGGCGGACGGGUGAGUAACGCGUGAGAACAUGCCUUUAGAUUGGGGACAACAGUUGGAAACGACUGCUAAUACCGAAUGUGCCUUAGGGUGAAAGAUUUAUUGUCUAGAGAUUGGCUCGCGUCAGAUUAGCUAGUUGGAGUGGUAACGGCACACCAAGGCGACGAUCUGUACUUGGUCUGAGAGGAUGACCAGGCACACUGGAACUGAGACACGGUCCAGACUCCUACGGGAGGCAGCAGUGGGGAAUUUUCCGCAAUGGGCGAAAGCCUGACGGAGCAAUACCGCGUGAGGGAGGACGGCUUUUGGGUUGUAAACCUCUUUUAUCAGGGAAGAAUCGAUGACGGUACCUGAUGAAUCAGCAUCGGCUAACUCCGUGCCAGCAGCCGCGGUAAUACGGAGGAUGCAAGCGUUAUCCGGAAUUAUUGGGCGUAAAGCGUCCGUAGGUGGUUUAUCAAGUCUGCUGUCAAAGCGUGCGGCUUAACCGCAUAAGGGCAGUGGAAACUGAUGAACUAGAGUGCGAUAGGGGUAACAGGAAUUCCCAGUGUAGCGGUGAAAUGCGUAGAUAUUGGGAAGAACACCAGCGGCGAAAGCGUGUUACUGGGUCUGCACUGACACUGAGGGACGAAAGCUAGGGGAGCGAAAGGGAUUAGAUACCCCUGUAGUCCUAGCCGUAAACGAUGACAACUAGGCGUGGUUCGUAUCGACCCGAGCCGUGCCGUAGCCAACGCGUUAAGUUGUCCGCCUGGGGAGUACGCACGCAAGUGUGAAACUCAAAGGAAUUGACGGGGGCCCGCACAAGCGGUGGAGUAUGUGGUUUAAUUCGAUGCAACGCGAAGAACCUUACCAAGGCUUGACAUCCUCGGAACCCUGAUGAAAGUUAGGGGUGCCUUCGGGAGCCGAGAGACAGGUGGUGCAUGGCUGUCGUCAGCUCGUGUCGUGAGAUGUUGGGUUAAGUCCCGCAACGAGCGCAACCCACGUUUUUAGUUGCCAGCAUUCAGUUGGGCACUCUAGAGAGACUGCCGGUGACAAACCGGAGGAAGGUGUGGAUGACGUCAAGUCAGCAUGCCCCAUACGCCUUGGGCUACACACGUACUACAAUGCGUCGGACAAAGAGCAGCCAGCCAGCGAUGGUGAGCCAAUCUCAUAAACCGGCGCUCAGUUCAGAUUGCAGGCUGCAACUCGCCUGCAUGAAGGCGGAAUCGCUAGUAAUCGCAGGUCAGCAUACUGCGGUGAAUACGUUCCCGGGCCUUGUACACACCGCCCGUCACACCAUGGGAGUUGGUCACGCCCGAAGUCGUUACUCUAACUGCUUGCAGAGGAGGACGCCGAAGGUGGGGCUGAUGACUGGGGUG
rnacentral:rRNA from 1 species